rnacentral:lncRNA from 1 species
CCCGGCAACAGCGCCAAAAACUUGAUGCGAAAAUUAACUUAACACACAAAUUUAACCCUCUUUUGACAAUUGUAGUAUAAGUAUAAGUAGGGAUUGUUCUGGAUAGAGGAUUAGGAGGGCUUGCUAAUAACCUCUAAACUGACUCAAAAACAUAAAACGAAACUUAAAAAUACUUAACAAGACUCACAUGACUCAAAUCAAACUUAAAAUACUCAAAACAACAUAAAACAACUAAAUAAACUUAAAAUAGACACUAGGAAUGACUUUGGACGAAAAUUGACUUUUACUUGAAUCAAAACAUUUAAAAACACAAAUUAAAACAAAUUCUAACUAAUUAGACACACUAAAGUAAAGGGGGAUUGAGUUUUGGACGAAGUUGAAACAAACAAACAAGUAUGAAAAGCUAGACAGAUUGUAAAACAAAUUUGAGAAAUAAGAUGAUGGAUGAGAUAGCUAGAGGCUUUUUCUCCACACAUGAUAUGUAUGCAAACAACUUGAUUUCCAGUUACUACUUCAUUGAAUUAUGAACGACAACACUCCAAAUUAACCGUGACGUCACUAGUUAACUCUCAGAUUUUCCUUGUUUUAUUGGAUUGGAUGACAUCAUUCGACAACCCAAAACAUUCUUCAAAAGUUCUCUACAUGACAUCAUAAUAGAGAUACAAUCAAAGAUCAUUACGUUUAAUGAAAAUCAUAAGCAUUGACAAAGCAGUUGUAACUAUGACAUCAUGUCACUCAUGCUAGGAAUUGAACUUAACGCGAUCGUUUAUAAGCGACCUUCACUACAUGUGAAUAUAAGUUUGUAAUGAUUAUGUGAAACUUUCUUAUAUUCUAGCAACGGAUUUAUGCAUGCCAAUUAAGUGUCGACCCUUAAUUAACAAAUACAAAUAAGUUAUCAAUCAAAUAGUUAAGCCAAUUGCAUUCACGAUUCAAGAGUUCAUAACUGGAAUUUAUCAAAUUAGAUUGCACACAUAAUCAUGGCUUUGAAAUCACCCCUAGCCAAGAGGGGUUUAGCCACUCAUAUUUACAACAAAACGAAAUGAAAUGAAUUUAAAUAUUAGAAACAAAAGAAAGAAAACACCUAAACGCUCAAACGAUCCAAGUUGGACAACAAGCACGUCCAAGCACUUUCCUUCCCUUCCUUUGCUACGGCACAAGGUGUUGGUGAGUGUUUGAAGGCUUGUUUGUAUGGAGGAAUGGAUGUGUUUGGAUGAAGGUUGUAUUCAAAUGGGGAU